rnacentral:rRNA from 1 species
GAAAGCGGGGGACCUGUGAGGGCCUCGCGCUAUGGGAGCGGCCGAUGGCCGAUUAGCUAGUUGGUGGGGUAAAGGCCUACCAAGGCGACGAUCGGUAGCUGGUCUGAGAGGAUGAUCAGCCACACUGGGACUGAGACACGGCCCAGACUCCUACGGGAGGCAGCAGUGGGGAAUUUUGGACAAUGGGGGCAACCCUGAUCCAGCCAUGCCGCGUGCGGGAAGAAGGCCUUCGGGUUGUAAACCGCUUUUAGUCGGGAAGAAAGGGUUUCCUUGAAUACGGGAGAUUCUUGACGGUACCGGCGGAAUAAGCACCGGCUAACUACGUGCCAGCAGCCGCGGUAAUACGUAGGGUGCGAGCGUUAAUCGGAAUUACUGGGCGUAAAGAGUGCGUAGGCGGUUGCUGAAGUCCGCUGUGAAAGCCCCGGGCUCAACCUGGGAAUGGCAGUGGAAACUAGGCGACUUGAAUCUGGCAGAGGGGGGUGGAAUGCCGCGUGUAGCAGUGAAAUGCGUAGAGAUGCGGCGGAACACCGAUGGCGAAAGCAGCCCCCUGGGCUGAGAUUGACGCUCAGCACGAAAGCGUGGGAAGCAAACAGGAUUAGAUACCCUGGUAGUCCACGCCCUAAACGA